rnacentral:tRNA from 1 species
GCAAUAGUGAUUCUGUGGUAGAAUACUUGCCUUCCAUGCAGGAGACCCUGGUUCAAUUCCCAGCCAAUGUA